rnacentral:rRNA from 1 species
UGCACCAAGGUAGAUAUAUUAAACGGCCGCGGGAUCCUUCACCGUGCAAAGGUAGCAUAAUCACUUGUCCCCUAAAUAGCGACUAGUAUGAAUGGCCAAAUGAAGAUUUCCCUGUCUCUUGUAGCCGAUCUAUGAAACUGAUCUCUCAGUACAAAAGCUGAGAUAUAAACACAAGACGAAAAGACCCUGUGGAACUUUUAAGUGAUAAACAUCAUAUGUCUUAACCACUUUUAGUUGGGGCAACUUUGGAAAAAAACAAAACUUCCAAUACUUUAAACCAAGGUAAACACACCUACGCCACCCUGUCAUACUGACCCAGUACUACUGAUAAAAGAAACAAGCUACCCCAGGGAUAACAGCGCCAUCCCCUCUUAGAGCCCCCAUCGAUGAGCGGGGCUUACGACCUCGAUGUUGGAUCAGGGCCCCCAAACAGUGCAGCCGCUGUUAACGGUUUGUUUGUUCAACAAUUAAUGCCCU